GACGAACGCUGGCGGCGCGCUUAACACAUGCAAGUCGAGCGAGAACCAGCCCUUCGGGGCUGGGGAAAGCGGCGAACGGGUGAGUAACACGUGGGUAAUCUGCCCUCGGCACCGGAAUAGCCCGGGGAAACCCGGAUUAAUGCCGGAUGGCCUCUCCGCCCUUCGGGGCGGUGAGAAAAGGUAGCUUCGGCCUCCGGCCGAGGAUGAGCCCGCGGCCGAUUAGCUUGUUGGUGAGGUAACGGCUCACCAAGGCGACGAUCGGUAGCCGGCCUGAGAGGGCGCACGGCCACACUGGAACUGAAACACGGUCCAGACUCCUACGGGAGGCAGCAGUGGGGAAUUUUGCGCAAUGGGGGAAACCCUGACGCAGCAACGCCGCGUGGAGGAUGAAGGUCUUUGGAUUGUAAACUCCUUUCGAUCGGGACGAUUAUGACGGUACCGGAAGAAGAAGCCCCGGCUAACUUCGUGCCAGCCGCCGCUGUAAAAC
rnacentral:rRNA from 1 species